GGAAAAAUAUGCCAGUUCCAUCGAGAUAGAAUAGAUUCAGCACAGGUAGUCCCUGCUUGGUUAAGCUGCUUACCGAUAAAAAGUGAUCUAAUCGAGGCCAAGCUUGUCCAUGACCAGCUUUGCUCAAUGGUUGAAAGGUCGGAUAGAGAACUUUUAGGAUUGAACAAUCAAUAUCUUCCCAAAGUUGUCCAUGUUUUCUCUGAGGUAAUAUGUGCAGGUAAAGACUUGGCAACAGAGCAAACUACCAGUCGAAUGAUUAAUAAUUUUAUGGGGCAACCUACAGAAAAGUUCCCCCCCUGCCGCUCUAGCGUCAACCUGGUCAUCCUUGGAGCCACAGAAGCAACUUGCUUUGCAAUCUAUUCUGUCUUCUUAGUUUCUCAGGAGAUGUUGGAAUGUCAUCAUUAUGUCCUUGUUGAAGCUGCAUUAAGUUGUCCUUAAUCCCUUUAAUUUGUGGGUAUAUCAUUCUUCGUCUUCAGGAAGAAGCUGUGUCCGGUCGAUUGAGUUCCUUUUGUGUUGGUGGGCAUGUCAUUGUUUUUGGGGGAUGCAUUUGUGUAUACUGUGCAUAUUA
rnacentral:misc_RNA from 1 species